UGAAAGAUGCAAUUGCAUCACUACCAGAUGGACCUGCGUUGUAUUAGCUAGUUGGUGAGGUAACGGCUCACCAAGGCGACGAUACAUAGCCGACCUGAGAGGGUGAUCGGCCACACUGGGACUGAGACACGGCCCAGACUCCUACGGGAGGCAGCAGUAGGGAAUCUUCGGCAAUGGGGGGAACCCUGACCGAGC
rnacentral:rRNA from 1 species